UGUCCUCUCAACGCUCAAUCCCGGCGAGUGCAGGCGUCACUGAAGACUUGACAUCGGCGGAAUCGGACGUCCACUGUCCUCUCCACGACUGGCCAGGUGUUAUCCAUACGCAAACUUUAUCUCCUUCCAAUGAAGCUGACCGUCCCGUCGAUGAGGAUGACCUCCCGCUUCGCUGCAGUUAGAGACUUUUUCCGUGUACAAACAGAGAGACGCAGCGGCGAGACAAUAACGCCCAGAAGUUAUUGAAAUGAAUUGUCAUGAAAGAAGCUGAAACAAGAGGAAGAAGUUGAAGAGGGCUUGCCAUUUGCCCCCUUCCCCCCACAGCAGAGCACAACAAGUAAAAGGCGAGUGGUUAAAGUCCAGACAUGAAAGAGGCACGCAAGUAUACACACAUGCUCAGUGCAGUGGCACCUAGAGGCUGUCUGCGGUCUACCACCACCCUACCACACACAUGUGCACACACACUCAUGGCUGUUACGGUAAGGAUCAAGAGACCACCGAGUCAGGAGGAUAAUAACGGUGGGAAUGUGAGAGAACAAACUCAUUAUCUACUUCUGUUUUCUCCUCUGAAUUAAAAUUUACACACGCACUGACAACUUCUGUUACUAAAUGUUUACAUGAAAAAGAUAAAGAAUAUAUGUUUGACUUCAGUCACAACAAAAGAUAAUCCUGUCAUGUCUAAGUUGAUGCUAUUUCAUUUUAAAGUGUCUUCUUUCCUGAUUGUCAUUUGUGAUGUGUCUGUAUCUGUGAUGGAAGUCGGCUUCAUUUUUUCCUAUCCGUUUCUGUCAGUCAAAAGCAGUCCACACAAGUUUAACAGCUGCACCACAUGUCCCACAACCCCUCCAUAACCAGCCCAUAUAACCCACCCAGUGCUCCUCCCAGGCUUCCCAGCAUCCUGCCCAGCACACCCUCCAAAAAAAAAAAAAAAAAAACCCUACAUGCUGAAAUUACAGUGCGGCAUUGUGGGAAGCCCCUCCCUCCCUUCAAUGUAUUUUCUCUCCUUAUACGGUCCUCACUCUGCUUCGAAUGAAUCUGAUUUAUUUUAAAAUUCGUUAAUCUGUCAUACCAAUGCUCAGGAUAAUUUGCUUCUCCAAUUACAGUAAAUUCAGUUCAAAAUGAGGUUAACAAGGUAAGAAUGCAGUCCUAAAUGAGAUCGGCUUCUUUCUGCCAAUUAGUUUUUUUAUUUACUGAUUUUUAAUAAUUACAAUUAGAGUCUGGCCUCUUUUAAAAUAUAACCGUAAAAAGAAAUGUGUUUGUUUUAUGACUUGUAAUGAACGCUAAUUAUUUUUAUGCUUAAUAUUUCUAUAUGUUAUCACAUUGAGCUACUCGUGAUAUACUAGAAUUACUGAAGUUUUAGGAGGAAUUACAUUUGGAACCAGAAAUAAUAAUUAUGUGGAUUCGGGAUUCAUUACCUUCAGCCAUGCAAAUGAAAGUAGUCAUCAUAAGCUACAAUUGCUAGAAUUGACUAAACAGUUCUAGCUACAAAGGCUGUAACUCAAAUUCAACCAAUAAUAUGAUGUGUCUGAUGAUACAAAACCCAGUGCUGCGUCUUUUAGUCAGAAAGUAGCUCCAUUCAGCUUUUAGCUUCAGGUUAACUGACAGCACCACCCUCACAGCGACCGUGUCACUUACCAGCUUUAAUGAUACACUAUCAGUUCAGCAUCGCCUGCAUGGAGCUAGCUUGGUUAACAAUCGGCCGAGGUGCAGUAUGAGAGGACGUGUGUGUGCGUAUGUGUCGGCUAUUAAAGCACUUGAGAAUCAUAGAGGAAAGAACUCACACUGCUAAUGGAUGUGUCUAUUGAUGUUCCCAUUUAGCGGCAUGCUGUAAACGAUAGGGCAGUGAUUGUGUUGAAGAAGGAAGGAGGUGGAGGAGUGGAGAGGAGAGCAGUUCGGCUGGGCGAUGAUAAUGACAAGGAAGGUUAUUAUUUGGCAUCCCAUGGAGUCUCUCUCCACUUUGUGUGUGUGUGUGAGACACAAAGAGAGUCGAGAGUGGUACUCUUCCUCCGUGCCUCUCAGCCCUAUUCCCUUCCCAGCCUAUUGGCUGUUAUUCACUCCUCUCUUCAUCCAGUCAAAGCUGUCUCUUUUUCAAAUCUACCUCUCCGUUUCUCAUUUCUCAAAGGGCCCUUCUUUAUUUAAAUGUACAGGGCAAAUAUAUUUUUAACAGAAGGUAAAAAUGGCAGGAAACAGGUCAAAGAUAAAAAUGAAGCAGAAGCAACAAAGUAGUCAUGAGAUCUUUAGCAAAGCAAGUUGCAGUUGAAAUAUUGAUUUACUCAUGAGUAAUUUUUAUUUAUUUAGUUUUUAACAGCUGCUUGCGUGUGUCCUGUCAGUUCAAAUUAGUGUGUGUGUGAUGAAUAUGAAUACAGUCAGCCUGCCUGCAGGUUUGGCUGGAGACCACCUCCAGCUGGACUCAGAUCUCUACUCAAGUGUGUCUGUGUGUAUUUUGUGUACAAGUCAGUUUGUAUCUGUCAGUGUAGUGACGACCUCAGGAGAAAAUAACAAAAACAAAAUUAUAAAGAAUA